UGAUGAUGGUGAGGGAAAUUUCUAAGCAUACCCUUAAAUCUUUCCCUAGCUUGGUAAAUAUUUUCUCUUUCUUUUCGCCUGAAACUCCAAAUCUCUCUUCUCAAACG